GACGUAGGGCGCGAGCGUGUCCGGAUUUAUUGGGCGUAAAGAGCUCGUAGGCGGCUUGUCGCGUCGUUCGUGAAAACCUGCAGCUCAACUGCAGGCUUGCGGUCGAUACGGGCAGGCUCGAGUUCGGUAGGGGAGACUGGAAUUCCUGGUGUAGCGGUGAAAUGCGCAGAUAUCAGGAGGAACACCGGUGGCGAAGGCGGGGUCUCUGGGGCC
rnacentral:rRNA from 1 species